GUUUAUAUAGUUUAUUUAAAACAUUACAUUUUCAUUGUAAAAAUAAAAAAAAAUUUUUUAUAAAUA
rnacentral:tRNA from 1 species